rnacentral:rRNA from 1 species
UGCGGAAGGAUCAUUAUUGAAUUAUAAGGCUCUGAUUGUGCUGGCCCCUCGGGGCAUGUGCACGUCUCUGCCCGUUAAUCCCAACCCACCCCUGUGAACCGACCGUGUGGGGCGCUCUGUAACGGAGCCGUCCCAUGCUUUAUCAUAAACCCUGCAUGUCAUCAGAAUGUAAAAAAAUYUWUWUCCUCCCCUUAAAACCGGGUSGGUAAAAAAAAAAUUAAUACAACUUUCAACAACGGAUCUCUUGGCUCUGGCAUCGAUGAAGAACGCAGCGAAAUGCGAUAAGUAAUGUGAAUUGCAGAUUUUCAGUGAAUCAUCGAAUCUUUGAACGCACCUUGCGCUACCUGGUAUUCCGGGGAGCAUGCCUGUUUGAGUGUCAUUAAAUUCUCAACCCCGAUCGGAUUUGUUUUCGCAUUCGGAGGCUUGGAUAGUGGAGCGUGCUGGCCCCCUCUCAUGGGUCGGCUCCUCUCAAAUGCAUUCGCGGAAUCGACUUUGGUCCGUUUCGGUCAUCAGUGUGAUAAAUGUUGCGCUGUUGGCUAGGAUCGAGGUGCCGCAUACAAUGGUCUUCGGACAAUUUCAUAAACAUAUUUGACCUCAAAUCAGGUAGGACUACCCGCUGAACUUAAGCAU